rnacentral:lncRNA from 1 species
CUUUACCCAUCAUCUUCCUUGUUUCCUAGCUUCUCUGGUGGUGUGGAUUGUAGGCUGUAAUCCUUUGCUCUAUGUCUAAUAGCGAUAUAUGAAUAUGGAGUCCCUUCCCCUCUUCUGUGAGAAGGUGAAGCACCCUGGGAAGGAUUUUUGGUGGCAUCUGCAGGAUGGACCAUGGUGUGGUACACAGAGUUGGUGUUUAGUAAACAUGUGUUGAAUGGCACUCAGCAAGGAUGUGUUUUUAAUUUGUGAUGGAUCCAAUGUUAUGCUCUUUGCCAGAAGUAUGUCGAGGCGAACCCCACCCAGGGACCACCAUCUUCAACUUGCAAAGGUUAAGCCUGAAGUGUGAACAAAUUCUCCUCUCUGUUCUGCAGAAGACAAAACUAUAGAGACCCUGUGGUUAUUUAUGACUAUGUAAGAAGUAUCACAGGGACAAAAACUUGUGGGAAUGGAGAAAAGUAAAAAUAGUUGUUAGAUUGGUGUGAUUAUAGGAAGGUACUUAAAAACUAAGUAGUUAAAAUAUUUCUCUAAUACAGGAAAGUUCUGAAAAAUGAUGAAAAGAUAAACAGUCUCAUGCUUGAUAGGGUGUUUAGCAGGUAGUGAUUGCCUUUGGUCAGAUUGGUUAUAUGACUAAUGAACUAAGUAAUAAAAUGUAGACCAUAUAAAUACAUACAUUGGCUUUUGGUCAACUUAGUUUUACUUGAAGAUUCAUUUCAUUCACUCCUAAGGAAGCCGUGGGACAACUGAGGCACCACCAGGUCCGAUCAAGGCUCUGUCAGUGGCUGGAAAUGUGUUGUUCUUUUUCUUUAGUUCAGGGAAUCGCAAGAAGAAUGGGCUGAGGGUUUAAAGCUACCGUCAUAUCACUAUCUAGAAAGGAAAUCCGUUGGCUCAUUUGG